UGCUCCUGCUCCUGCUUCUGCUGCGGCUACGACUUCUUGAAGGGCUGCCCUUGUAUUCUCUUACCCGGAUGUAGGUUCUUGUCCAAGGAUUCCUGAACUCAGUAUCAUCAAGUUUUCUUAUAGCAUAUUUCAUGUCUUCAUAAUUUGUGUAGUCCACCAAGCCAAAGGUUCCUUCACUGUCACGAGAAACCUCAGCAAAGCACACAUCACCAGCUUUCCGCAUAUGAUCCUUCAA
rnacentral:misc_RNA from 1 species